AGUUGAUCUUUAAAAGAAUUAUUAACAGUGACUGUUAUAAUUUAGAAUUCAUACCUCUAGCAAUAAUUUCAAAUCUAUAUAAAAUAUUUUUGCCUGUUUUUUUAGCUGACUUCUACAAGCAUUUGAACUCGCACUUAUUGAGGCUGAAUCUGGAUAAUUGAAUAGGCCUUUCAUAACAGGAGAGACAAAGUACAGGUUCAAAUAUAAGAGUAAAAGCCUUUGGAGAAUGAAAGCCAGAUCUCUUGUGGAGGGAAACCAAGCUUUUCCUGGGAUGAGUGCUCAAAAAAUGGAAGGACUCCGAGUCCUAGCUUCUUUUGCUUUGCUGGCCAGAAACCAAAUAUUUCUAAAGAGGCAGGCUUGGCAUUAUCUACUUUCAUAGGACCACCUGGAUACAGUCAAGGUGAGGAUGAGAGGAAAGGAGGUUAAGACACAGAGGGAUGACCAUGUGCAGACAUCAGCGGAAGACAGCCAUCUACAAGCCAAGGAGAGAGGCCUUUAGAAGACACCACCCCUGACACCACCUCAAUCUUAAACUCCUAGUCUUGAGAACUGUGAGGAAAUAAAUUCCUGUUGUUUAA